rnacentral:rRNA from 1 species
GUGCCAGCAGCCGCGGUAAUACGUAGGUGGCAAGCGUUGUCCGGAAUUAUUGGGCGUAAAGCGCUCGCAGGCGGUCUUUUAAGUCUGAUGUGAAAUCUCGUGGCUUAACCACGAACGGUCAUUGGAAACUGGAGGACUUGAGUACAGAAGAGGAGAGUGGAAUUCCACGCGUAGCGGUGAAAUGCGUAGAGAUGUGGAGGAACACCAGUGGCGAAGGCGACUCUCUGGUCUGUAACUGACGCUGAGGAGCGAAAGCGUGGGGAGCGAACAGGAUUAGAUACCCCGGUAGUCC